rnacentral:lncRNA from 1 species
GAGUGGGAAGAAGAUUUGCUAUCAGAUGAGGAGCCUUGAAUGCGAAGAAGAUGUUGGGAGUAUGGACUUCAAUGCACUUCUUCCUUCUUUCUCUUGUAUUUACUCUAGAGAGGCUUUGGUAGGUGAAAAUCACUUUAGCUUUGAAUGGAGUCUCCGUUCUUCCCUUGCUACAGUCCUCUGUGGCUAUUUAAGCCAUUCCCCACGGAAACUAGCCGU